AGAGCCCGCGGGCCCCGGGGAAGUGCGGGUCGGAAAAGGGGACGGGCCGCGCCACAAAGGUUUUCUUCUCCAGAGGCAACAGCUCGGCCUCCGGGGCCGUGAGCAGCCCAGGAACCGUGGCCCCAGCUUCCAGGUGCUAGGCAGCCGAAGCCUGGCAACCAGCUCCGGGGAGCCCAGCUGGGGCGGGGAGGCUGGACUGGGCGCUGGGCCAGAGGAACCUCGGCCCCAGCCUCCGGCUGCGCCCACAUUCCUCCCUUGGCCGCAGCCCUGCCACCGAGGUCGGGCCCAGCCCAGUCCUGGGGUGCCUGGUCGCCACCCCCACCCUUGAAGACACCACACUCCAGGCAGGCAGCUGAUAUUUUUAUUGGCCUUCCUGUCCUCUGGGAAACCGGUCUGGUCCCACCAGCUACCCAUUCUCUCAACUGUUUCUGGGGAAAGGCAUGGGGGGGACGGGCAAUCUCCAGCGCGGAUCUUUUCUGCAGCACUUAGUGACUCCUGCCCUCCUGCUGGGGAAGAGAGGCAAGCCGACGUCUAGCAAAUCCUGCCUCAGGAUGAAAGUGUAGGGGAGGUGGCAGCACUCCCGGGGACCGCCCAGCCCCGGGCUAUGCAGAAGCUAGGCAGGCCUAAUGGCCAGUCCAGGCAGGCCCUGGCUUGCCCUGCUCCAAAGUAUGGAGAUAGAGUCCCGGUAAGCACCAAAUACUUUUUUUUUUUUUUUUUUUUUUUUUUUUUUGAGAGGGAGACUUGCUCUGUCAUCCAGGCUGGAGUGCAGUGGUGCGAUCUCGGCUCACUGCAAACUUCACCUCCCGGGUUCAAGGGAUUCUCUUGCCUUAGCCUCCAGAGUAGCUGGGAUUACAGGCGCCCGUCACCAUGCCUGGUUAAUUUUUGUAUUUUUAGUAGAGACGGGGUUUCACCAUGUUGGCCAGGCUGGCCUCAGUCUACUGACCUCAAGUGAUCCGCCCGCCUUGGCCUCCCAAAGUGCUGGAAUUACAGGCGUGAGCCACCGCACCCAGCCUUAUUUUCUUCUUUUUUUUUUUUUUUGGUGGAGACAGCGGUCUCGCUAUGGUCCCCAGGCUGGUCUCCCAACUCCUGGCCACAAGGGAUCAAGGGAUCCUCCUGGCCAAAGCACUGCCUAUGCAGGUGUGAGCCACCGCCGCCGGCCCAGACUUAUUUUCUAACUGGGCUAGGGGAAAGGGUAGGGUCUGUGUGGAGCUACAGCUGCCUUCAGCCUUUUUUGUUUUUUUUUUUUUUUUGAGACGGAGUCUGGUUCUGUCGCCCAGGCUGGAGGGGUUUACGCCAUUCUCCUGCCUCAGCCUCCUGAGCAGCUGGGACUACAGGCGCGUGCCACCACGCCCAGCUAAUUUUUUUGUAUUUUUAGUAGAGAUGGGGUUUCACCACGUUAGCCAGGAUGGUCUCGAUCUCCUGACCUCGUGAUCCGCCCGCCUCAGCCUCCCAAAGUGGGAGGAUCACCUGAGCCUAGGA
rnacentral:lncRNA from 1 species